rnacentral:tRNA from 1 species
GCGGGGGUGCCCGAGCCAGGUCAAAGGGGCAGGGUUUAGGUCCCUGUGGUGUAGGCCUGCGUGGGUUCAAAUCCCACCCCCCGCACCA